CUCAUUGAAAACUGUGUACCAGUCAGAGAGAAAGAAAGAGAGAGAGAGAGAGAGAGAGAGAGAGAAUGGAGAAAGCUGCUGAGGAUGACGAUGGUGGCCGAGAGGCAUCUAAUCGGAAGGAAAGUCACUUGAGUCUGAAUGCUGAGGAUGUGAAGGAAUCAGUCAGAAGAUUAGCUUAUAUGGUGGUCGGCUCUUUCUCACCACCCUCUAACGACCUCUUUGGAUGGGAGAUUGGGCAAAGAGGGUGUGGAGCUUAUCAUAUGUCCCUUCAGUAAGAAAAAGUGGAGGAUAAUAGGUGUGUUUUUUUCAUGGCCUGUUCAGAGGGCGUUGCAAAUCCCAAUAAGGUGCGUGAGAGGUGAAAGUUCAAAUUGUCUCGAUAAGAGUCCGGGCAAGGAAGAUUUGCUGGGCUCGGCUAUAAAGGGGAAUAUUACUGAUAUAAAGGGGAGUAAGCAGGCUAUUUUAAGUUGAGCUGAAGAGGUUCUGACCUCCUUGGCUCUCCUUCUCAAAAUGCACAGAACUUUUGCGGCAGCGUUCUUGAUAGCUUUGGCAGAAAUCCAUGGCACCCAGAUUCCAGCCGUUCCGUUUUGGAAGGUUGCUCACAAGAGGAGGGAACGAGGGGCUAGAGUUCCUCCUAAGGCUCAAGGCCUCCCGAUAAUAGUUUUGGAUCAAGAUGAGGGGCUUAAUAGUGCUCCUCUUCAGAUGUUGCCUGCUGCGGAAUCUCUACCUUGAGCUCUGGAUAUGAUAAAGAAGAUAGCUCUGAAGAUGAUGAUGAAUAUCCAGUAGACCCCUCCUACAUUGCCAUCGCUCAAUCAGAUGGAGAAUCUCGGUGAUGGCGUGGCUAAGAGCUUGGUUGAUCCAGUUGCAGAGGAGGGGGCGAAUGAUAUGAGGAUAUCCGUGCAAAAGAUGGGAGGACUGAGGAAGAAGGGGCAAGAAACAAUGUUGGUUCAGAAGGGAAUCAAGGUGCUACGGGGGGAUUAGUCUAUUCUGGAAAGCAUGGUUCCAAUCCCAGAUGAUCCUAAGGACUUUGUAGGAGUCUUUCAUGAUACUGGUAUGGGAUUCAAUGUCCCGAUAGCUAGGGGCUGGAAGUUAUAAAGGAGAAAGUGAAGUCUAUGAAGAAUUGAAGGGAAUCUGUUGAUUUGGAGGUACAUCACCAGAUUCAAGACUAUGUAAAUGAGAUACGGCUAAUGGAGGAGAGGAAUGCUGUGAUGAAUGCAACUCCUACAAGGUCUUCGUCUCGAAUUGCUUUGCAUAAUGGGGGAAUUGCGACUCAAGAGUCAUCCAAAGGCAAAAAGGCGGCUUCAGCAAGCUUGACAUCUUCAUCUUCCAAUUCCUUGUCUAAGGUGAUGUCGGGUAUCAGAUUUAGAUCUGCAUCUCAUUUUAAUGAAGCUGAUUAGCUGGAAUGUUCGAGGGAUGGGGAGAGGCUAAGCGAAAGCGUGAAAUUCAGAUGUUGGACUGGAGCCACAAGCCGGACAUUUUGCUUUUACAGGAAACUAAAUUACCUUCCCCAUCUUUGUUGUCGGUUAGGGGUGUUUGGGAUGGGGAGCAGGUUGAUUUUGUGCGGCUGGAUGCAGGUGGUUCAUCAGGUGGAAUGUGGACCAUGUGGGAUCCAACGCCUUUUAAACUUUUGAUAUCUGUUUUGGGGGAAAGGAUGUGUGUUGUUGUUUUGGAAGGGAUUUUAGAUGAUUUUCAUUGGGCUUGCUUUAAUGUGUAUGGACCAAACUUAUAUUCUAUGAAAGAAGAAUUUUUUAA